GAUGAACGCUGGCGGCGUGCCUAAUACAUGCAAGUCGAGCGAACGGACGAGAAGCUUGCUUCUCUGAUGUUAGCGGCGGACGGGUGAGUAACACGUGGAUAACCUACCUAUAAGACUGGGAUAACUUCGGGAAACCGGAGCUAAUACCGGAUAAUAUUUUGAACCGCAUGGUUCAAAAGUGAAAGACGGUCUUGCUGUCACUUAUAGAUGGAUCCGCGCUGCAUUAGCUAGUUGGUAAGGUAACGGCUUACCAAGGCAACGAUGCAUAGCCGACCUGAGAGGGUGAUCGGCCACACUGGAACUGAGACACGGUCCAGACUCCUACGGGAGGCAGCAGUAGGGAAUCUUACGCAAUGGGCGAAAGCCUGACGGAGCAACGCCGCGUGAGUGAUGAAGGUCUUCGGAUCGUAAAACUCUGUUAUUAGGGAAGAACAUUUGUGUAAGUAACUGUGCACAUCUUGACGGUACCUAAUCAGAAAGCCACGGCUAACUACGUG
rnacentral:rRNA from 1 species